rnacentral:rRNA from 1 species
CGCAUCUGUGCAUGCAGCAUAUCAAUAAGCGGAGGAAAAGAAACUAACAAGGAUUCCCCUAGUAACGGCGAGUGAAGCGGGAAGAGCUCAAAUUUGAAAUCUUAAAGGGUUUCCCUUUACGAAUUGUAGUUUAAAGAAGUGUUUUCUGUUGAGGUUUCGGUAAAAGUUCUUUGGAAUAGGACAUCAUAGAGGGUGAGAAUCCCGUAUUUGACCUUUACUUUCAACUUUGUGAUACACUUUCAAAGAGUCGGAUUGUUUGGGAAUGCAGUCCAAAAUGGGUGGUGAAUUUCAUCUAAAGCUAAAUAUUGGCGAGAGACCGAUAGCGAACAAGUACCGUGAGGGAAAGAUGAAAAGAACUUUGAAAAGAGAGUUAAACAGUACGCGAAAUUGUCAAAAGGGAAGCGUUUGACACCAGUGUUGUUUUUCUGAAAAUCAAUUAAAGAACUGUUUAUGCUAAGCUUGUUUAGACUUUAUCAGCUAACUGUUUAGUUUUGAGCUUUUCUUUAAUGCACUUUUCAGUUAACAAGUCAACAUCAAUUUCUUUUGCUGUAAAAAAGCAUGAGGAAGGUGGCUUGAGAUUCGUCUUAAGUGUUUAUAGCCUCUUGCCUAUGCAGUCGGAGAGAUUGAGGUCUGCAGCGUAGAUCCUUCGGGGCUAAAUGCAUUUGUGCUAAGUUAUAGCAUUUUAUAGACAACUUGUUGACUAUGAUUUGUCUUGUAGCUUACUCGCUUAUGUUAUUUUACCUACGCUUAGGAUGUUGAAUCUGUGCGAGACUAC